UGUCCUGGAUUAUGAUGAAUGUCUGGCUGCAUGGGACAAUAUCUUGGAUCCUAAGCAAUUGUGUAUCAAUGCCGAAGGAGGCAAGGGAACUUGUGGGGGCGAUUCUGGUGGUCCCACCAUGUACAACAACCAACAAGUCGGAAUCACUUCAUUCGGAGGCUUUUUGUGCGAGAUCGGAUUGCCCGCUGGUUUGGUUUCUGUUGCUCAAUACAAAGACUGGAUUUGCGCCAACACCGAAGGCCUUGACGUUUGCUGAUAACAAGAAAGGCAGCAUUGUGGAAUAUGGAAUUGAAUCAUUUCAGUCACGUCAAGUGAAGCAUGUUUGAAUACAUAUUUUUGCAUUUCUGAUAA